GACGAACGCUGGCGGCGUGCUUAACACAUGCAAGUCGAACGGAAAGGCCCCUUUGGGGGUACUCGAGUGGCGAACGGGUGAGUAACACGUGAGUAACCUGCCCUUGACUUCGGGAUAACUUCAGGAAACUGGGGCUAAUACCGGAUAGGAAUCCUUGCUGCAUGGUGGGGGUUGGAAAGCUUCGGCGGUUUUGGAUGGACUCGCGGCUUAUCAGCUUGUUGGUGGGGUAGUGGCUUACCAAGGCUUUGACGGGUAGCCGGCCUGAGAGGGCGACCGGCCACAUUGGGACUGAGAGACGGCCCAGACUCCUACGGGAGGCAGCAGGGGGGAAGAUUGCACAAUGGGCGGAAGCCUGAUGCAGCAACGCCGCGGGCGGGAUGACGGCCUUCGGGUUGGAAACCGCUUUCAGCAGGGGCGAAGCUUGUGGUGACGGUACCUGCAGAAGAAGCACCGGCUAACUACGUG
rnacentral:rRNA from 1 species